rnacentral:rRNA from 1 species
AUUGAACGCUGGCGGCAUGCCUUACACAUGCAAGUCGAACGGCAGCACGGGAGCAAUCCUGGUGGCGAGUGGCGAACGGGUGAGUAAUAUAUCGGAACGUGCCCAGUCGUGGGGAUAACGUAGCGAAAGCUACGCUAAUACCGCAUACGAUCUACGGAUGAAAGCGGGGGAUCGCAAGACCUCGCGCGAUUGGAGCGGCCGAUAUCAGAUUAGGUAGUUGGUGAGGUAAAGGCUCACCAAGCCGACGAUCUGUAGCUGGUCUGAGAGGACGACCAGCCACACUGGGACUGAGACACGGCCCAGACUCCUACGGGAGGCAGCAGUGGGGAAUUUUGGACAAUGGGCGCAAGCCUGAUCCAGCAAUGCCGCGUGCAGGAUGAAGGCCUCGGUUGUAACGUA